rnacentral:misc_RNA from 1 species
CCGAAACAAAGUCCAUAAAUUAUUAACAAUUAUCAUAUAAUUAUAUUUAGAUUACGGGUAUUGGAAAAGCUUAAAAAUCUCACCAAGUGAUCUAGAUCGUUCGAUGAUUGUCUUUUUCCAAUGAUUCCAAUUAAAGCGGGAUUGGUCCCAUCUUAAAGGUUUCGAUACGUUGAGUUCAAAGGUGGUCUCAGAUCGUCGAUCUGACGGCCGGAAUCAUCAGGAAAUUGACUGGAAAGUUUUUGCCUAGCCCAUUUCUCUCUCGUCUCCCUCGUCAAAUCUCCUUCCUCUAGCCACAAUUGGAUGUGUAGACACUCUAUUUUGUUCGGGCAUUUUAAUGAAAAUGAUAAAACUAAUAAUAAUAUCAAAUUUUGAUUCUUGAUAUGGCAAUUCAAAUGUUAAUUUUAAAACAAAAUUUUAAUUCCAAUUAUAAAAUUUAAUCCACCUUUAAUU